rnacentral:lncRNA from 1 species
UUUUUUUUUUGAGAUGGAGUCUCACUCUGUUGCCCAGGCUGGAGUGCAGCGGCGUGAUCUCGGCUCAUUGCAAGCUCCACCUCCCAGGUUCAAGUGAUUCUCCUGCCUCAGCCUCCCAAUAUCUGGGAUUACAGGCGUGCACCACCAUGCCUGGCUAAUUUUUAUGGGGUUUCACCGUGUUAGCCAGGAUGGUCUCGAUCUCCUGACCUUGUGAUCCACCCGCCUUAGCCUCCCAAAGUGCUGGGAUUACAGGCGUGAGCCACCGGACCUGGCCUGUUUUUGCUUUUGAGACACAGUUUUGCUCUGUCACCUAGGCUGCGGAGAUUGCAGUGAGCCGAGAUCGUGCCACUGCACUCCAGCCUGGUGACAGAGCAAGCCCCGUCUCAAAAAAUUAAUAAGGCUGGAUGCGGUGGCUCACGCAUGUGAUCCCAGCACUUUGGGAGGCUGAGGUGGGUGGAUCACAAGGUCAAGAGCUCAAGACCAUCCUGGCCAACAUGGUGAAACCCCGUCUAACAAAAAUUAGCUGGGCGUGGUGGCGCACGCCUGUAAUCCCAGCUACUUGGGAGACUGAGGCAGGAGAAUCACUUGAACCCGGGAGGUGGAGGUUGCAGUGAGCCGAGAUCACGCCACUGCGUUCCAGUCUGGGCAACAGAGUGAGACUCCGUCACACAAAAAAAAAAAAAGAGAAAAAAUAAAUAACAUAAAACUGAAGUAUUAAGGGAGUGAUGCUACCUCAGGGGCCUGUGGCAAGUUAAUAAAACCAGGUGGUAAAACAAC